CGGGACGGGUGAGUAACGCGUGGAUAACCUGCCUCACACAGGGGAGUAACAGUUAGAAAUGACUGCUAAUACCGCAUAAGCGCACGGUACCGCAUGGUACAGUGUGAAAAACUCCGGUGGUGUGAGAUGGAUCCGCGUCUGAUUAGGUAGUUGGUGAGGUAACGGCCCACCAAGCCGACGAUCAGUAGCCGACCUGAGAGGGUGACCGGCCACAUUGGGACUGAGACACGGCCCAA
rnacentral:rRNA from 1 species